ACUCUAAAAGAGUAAUACAACGACGCUGUUGUAAUCUCCAUAUCUACUGUUAUUAAUACUAUGAAUUAUAGAGAAAUUCGUGCACUAUACAGAAUACAAUCAUGCUAAACCAUGAUAAAAUGCUCGGUUUUUUAAUAAAAGAAGUGUUCUAAUCGUGUGUUUGUGUGCUUGUAACAAGAACGAAUCACGCAGCUUUGAAAAACUUGGCACGGCGUAAUUUAUUAAAAACAAAUUAACCGAUUUUAAUAAAAACACCAAUGCGGCUUCACAAUAUUUAAUAUACAUACAAAUUUCUUGCCGAAGUGGUAAUAUUGGAAAAUGGUUUAUCACACUGUUUGAUUAACAGUGAAAAGCGUCGUUCAAUCUGACAGCUAAUGUUUGCCAACACUGCUUCACACAUUCUAAUUGAAAAUAUCAAACUAAAUCAUAGAUAACAGAAUACGAAUAUUAUCCAUGAACUAAAUACAUAUAUCAUAAAUAUAUUUUAAAACCGCAUAUAAUUACAUACAUAUGUGUAUGCAUAUACAUAUGUUAUUACAAAUUUCAGAAGAUCACCACGAACUGAUUUUGCUAGAAUCAAACAAGAUGAUCAAGUUAACCUAAUUUUAUGUUGGUGCAAACUAUAUUAAUAAGAACUCUACUCAGUGUAAUACAAUGAACACAUGCCUUUACCAAAACACCUGUUUUUAUGUAUGGAGCAAAAUAUAAUAUUAAAAACUUUACUAUUUUUCAAAAAAAAACCAA